UUAAGCGACCAAGCGUACACGGUGGAUGCCCUGGCAGUCAGAGGCGAUGAAGGACGUGCUAAUCUGCGAAAAGCGCCGGUAAGGUGAUAUGAACCGUUAUAACCGGCGAUGUCCGAAUGGGGAAACCCAGUGUGACUCGUCACACUAUCAUUAACUGAAUCCAUAGGUUAAUGAGGCGAACCGGGGGAACUGAAACAUCUAAGUACCCCGAGGAAAAGAAAUCAACCGAGAUUCCCCCAGUAGCGGCGAGCGAACGGGGAGGAGCCCAGAGCCUGAAUCAGCAUGUGUGUUAGUGGAAGCGUCUGGAAAGGCGCGCGAUACAGGGUGAGAGCCCCGUACACAAAAGCGCAUAUGCUGUGAGCUCGAUGAGUAGGGCGGGACACGUGGUAUCCUGUCUGAAUAUGGGGGGACCAUCCUCCAAGGCUAAAUACUCCUGACUGACCGAUAGUGAACCAGUACCGUGAGGGAAAGGCGAAAAGAACCCCGGCGAGGGGAGUGAAACAGAACCUGAAACCGUGUACGUACAAGCAGUGGGAGCCUCUCUUUAUGGGGGGUGACUGCGUACCUUUUGUAUAAUGGGUCAGCGACUUAUAUUCUGUAGCAAGGUUAACCGCAUAGGGGAGCCGAAGGGAAACCGAGUCUUAACCGGGCGUUAAGUUGCAGGGUAUAGACCCGAAACCCGGUGAUCUAGCCAUGGGCAGGUUGAAGGUUGGGUAACACUAACUGGAGGACCGAACCGACUAAUGUUGAAAAAUUAGCGGAUGACCUGUGGCUGGGGGUGAAAGGCCAAUCAAACCGGGAGAUAGCUGGUUCUCCCCGAAAGCUAUUUAGGUAGCGCCUCGUGAACUCAUCUCCGGGGGUAGAGCACUGUUUCGGCUAGGGGGCCAUCCCGGCUUACCAACCCGAUGCAAACUGCGAAUACCGGAGAAUGUUAUCACGGGAGACACACGGCGGGUGCUAACGUCCGUCGUGAAGAGGGAAACAACCCAGACCGCCAGCUAAGGUCCCAAAGUCAUGGUUAAGUGGGAAACGAUGUGGGAAGGCCCAGACAGCCAGGAUGUUGGCUUAGAAGCAGCCAUCAUUUAAAGAAAGCGUAAUAGCUCACUGGUCGAGUCGGCCUGCGCGGAAGAUGUAACGGGGCUAAACCAUGCACCGAAGCUGCGGCAGCGACACUUUAGUGUUGUUGGGUAGGGGAGCGUUCUGUAAGCCGUUGAAGGUGUCCUGUGAGGGGUGCUGGAGGUAUCAGAAGUGCGAAUGCUGACAUAAGUAACGAUAAAGCGGGUGAAAAGCCCGCUCGCCGGAAGACCAAGGGUUCCUGUCCAACGUUAAUCGGGGCAGGGUGAGUCGACCCCUAAGGCGAGGCCGAAAGGCGUAGUCGAUGGGAAACGGGUUAAUAUUCCCGUACUUGGUGUUACUGCGAAGGGGGGACGGAGAAGGCUAUGUUGGCCGGGCGACGGUUGUCCCGGUUUAAGCGUGUAGGCUGGUUUUCCAGGCAAAUCCGGAAAAUCAAGGCUGAGGCGUGAUGACGAGGCACUACGGUGCUGAAGCAACAAAUGCCCUGCUUCCAGGAAAAGCCUCUAAGCAUCAGGUAACAUCAAAUCGUACCCCAAACCGACACAGGUGGUCAGGUAGAGAAUACCAAGGCGCUUGAGAGAACUCGGGUGAAGGAACUAGGCAAAAUGGUGCCGUAACUUCGGGAGAAGGCACGCUGACACGUAGGUGAAGUGAUUUACUCAUGGAGCUGAAGUCAGUCGAAGAUACCAGCUGGCUGCAACUGUUUAUUAAAAACACAGCACUGUGCAAACACGAAAGUGGACGUAUACGGUGUGACGCCUGCCCGGUGCCGGAAGGUUAAUUGAUGGGGUCAGCGCAAGCGAAGCUCCUGAUCGAAGCCCCGGUAAACGGCGGCCGUAACUAUAACGGUCCUAAGGUAGCGAAAUUCCUUGUCGGGUAAGUUCCGACCUGCACGAAUGGCGUAAUGAUGGCCAGGCUGUCUCCACCCGAGACUCAGUGAAAUUGAACUCGCUGUGAAGAUGCAGUGUACCCGCGGCAAGACGGAAAGACCCCGUGAACCUUUACUAUAGCUUGACACUGAACAUUGAGCCUUGAUGUGUAGGAUAGGUGGGAGGCUUUGAAGCGUGGACGCCAGUCUGCGUGGAGCCGACCUUGAAAUACCACCCUUUAAUGUUUGAUGUUCUAACGUGGACCCGUAAUCCGGGUUGCGGACAGUGUCUGGUGGGUAGUUUGACUGGGGCGGUCUCCUCCUAAAGAGUAACGGAGGAGCACGAAGGUUGGCUAAUCCUGGUCGGACAUCAGGAGGUUAGUGCAAUGGCAUAAGCCAGCUUGACUGCGAGCGUGACGGCGCGAGCAGGUGCGAAAGCAGGUCAUAGUGAUCCGGUGGUUCUGAAUGGAAGGGCCAUCGCUCAACGGAUAAAAGGUACUCCGGGGAUAACAGGCUGAUACCGCCCAAGAGUUCAUAUCGACGGCGGUGUUUGGCACCUCGAUGUCGGCUCAUCACAUCCUGGGGCUGAAGUAGGUCCCAAGGGUAUGGCUGUUCGCCAUUUAAAGUGGUACGCGAGCUGGGUUUAGAACGUCGUGAGACAGUUCGGUCCCUAUCUGCCGUGGGCGCUGGAAGACUGAGGGGGGCUGCUCCUAGUACGAGAGGACCGGAGUGGACGCAUCACUGGUGUUCGGGUUGUCAUGCCAAUGGCACUGCCCGGUAGCUAAAUGCGGAAAAGAUAAGUGCUGAAAGCAUCUAAGCACGAAACUUGCCCCGAGAUGAGUCUUCCCUGAGACUUUGAGUCUCCUGAAGGAACGUUAAAGACGAUGACGUUGAUAGGCCGGGUGUGUAAGCGCAGCGAUGCGUUGAGCUAACCGGUACUAAUGAACCGUGAGGCUUAACCUU
rnacentral:rRNA from 1 species